rnacentral:rRNA from 1 species
CACGCCGUAAACUAUGGUCGCUAGCCGUCGGAUAGCAUGCUAUUCGGUGGCGCAGCUAACGCAUUAAGCGACCCGCCUGGGGAGUACGGCCGCAAGGUUAAAACUCAAAGGAAUUGACGGGGGCCCGCACAAGCGGUGGAGCAUGUGGUUUAAUUCGACGCAACGCGAAGAACCUUACCUACCCUUGACAUGUCCGGACGACUUCCAGAGAUGGAUUUCUCCCAGCAAUGGGCCGGAACACAGGUGC